CCAGACUCCUACGGGAGGCAGCAGUGGGGGAUAUUGCACAAUGGGGGAAACCCUGAUGCAGCGACGCCGCGUGAGUGAAGAAGUAUUUCGGUAUGUAAAGCUCUAUCGGCAGGGAAGAAAAAAAUGACAGUACCUGACUAAGAAGCCCCGGCUAACUACGUGCCAGCAGCCGCGGGAAUACGUAGGGGGCAAGCGUUAUCCGGAUUUACUGGGUGUAAAGGGAGCGUAGGCGGCCACGCAAGUCAGAAGUGAAAACCCGGGGCUCAACCCGGAGACUGCACUUGAAACUGGGUGUCUUGAGGGCAGGAGAGGAAAGUGGAAUUCCUAGUGUAGCGGUGAAAUGCGUAGAUAUUAGGAGGAACACCAGUGGCGAAGGCGACUUUCUGGACUGUACCUGACGCUGAGGCGCGAAAGCGUGGGUAGCGAACGGGAUUAGAUACCCUCGUAA
rnacentral:rRNA from 1 species